CCCGUCUCAGGGUCACACUUGGAGAGUUUUCAGUACGCUACCAAUCUUGGCUAAGGGAGGGAGAGUCAAGCAGAGGCCUACCCAUUUCAUUCCUAGCUUGGAGAGCAGCUAGCAAGUGGAAGACAAUCUGCUACAAGU